UACAGAGGUGGCAAGCGUUGUUCGGAAUUACUGGGCGUAAAGGGCGAGUAGGUGGCCAUCUAAGUCAGACGUGAAAUCCCCCGGCUUAACCUGGGAACUGCGUCUGAUACUGGACGGCUAGAGUAUGGGAGAGGAACGUAGAAUUCCAGGUGUAGCGGUGAAAUGCGUAGAUAUUGGGAGGAACACCAGUGGCGAAGGCGGCUCACUGGACCGGUUCUGACGCUGAGGCGCGAAAGCGUGGGGAGCAAACGGG
rnacentral:rRNA from 1 species